AGAGCGAACGCUGGCGGCAGGCCUAACACAUGCAAGUCGAGCGGAUGUAGCAAUACAUCAGCGGCAGACGGGAGAGUAACACGUGGGAACGCGCCCUUCGGUUCGGAAUAACUCAGGGAAACUUGAGCUAAUACCGGAUACGCCCUUACGGGGAAAGAUUUAUUGCCGAAGGAACGGCCCGCGUCCGAUUAGCUUGUUGGUGAGGUAAUGGCUCACCAAGGCGACGAUCGGUAGCUGGUCUGAGAGGAUGACCAGCCUCACUGGGACUGAGACACGGCCCAGACUCCUACGGGAGGCAGCAGUGGGAAUAUUGGACAAUGGGCGCAAGCCUGAUCCAGCCAUGCCGCGUGGAUGAUGAAGGCCUUAGGUUGUAAAGUCUUUAACGGGAAGAUAAUGACGGUACCGUAGAAUAAGCCCGGCUAACUUCGUGCCAGCAGCCGC
rnacentral:rRNA from 1 species